CGUUGAGCGUAGAAGGACCCGAAGUAGUUUUGCAAAUCCCUUUUCAAGAGAGCUGACGGCAGGUGAAAGUCAGUAACUAUUUGCAGGCGAAUUACAGUCCGGAGCAUCUUUUAAGGCGCAUAUUUCCCUUAAAAGACGGUGGCAUUACCGUUAACAAUCCCAAGUGGCAUUUUUAUUAUGCAACAAGGGUGGUACCGCGAGUGGAAACUCGUCCCUUAU
rnacentral:ncRNA from 1 species